rnacentral:snoRNA from 7 species
UUAAUGAUGAACAAUGUAAAUGACAAGCAUAUGGCUGAGUUGCAAUGAUGUCAUCUUACUACUGAAA